rnacentral:lncRNA from 1 species
AACAAAAACACUUACAGAUUCUUGUUAAACGCGAUGAUUGGGCGGCAAACAGGAAUCGAAGUCCAGAAUGUUCAUCAGAUGUGUGCCAGCCGAUCCAUCCCGGACACUUCUGAGGUAGCCACGAGGACACCCCCGGGCAUGGAGUUUUAAUAGCUGCCCCUGUUGCUUGAUAUGUCGAACACUAUGAACGUUACCCUAAUGAGAGAAUGUGGAGGAGCAGUUGAUGUCUAGCAAAACGGUAUCUGAUAGUUAGAGAGGUAGUUGUGUAUUGCAUGUCGUCACCGGGUAUCUGUGAGCAGUUCAGAAUCGCUAGUUGGACCUCUACAGUCCUCCUUCCUGACAACCACAUUCAGCACAGAUUCUGGAGACAGAGGACUCUCUGAAGCACGGUAGCAAACUUCUUGUAUCGCCUAAAGCUCAUUUGUCGUUGAUCCUGCAGAAAGACAACAGGAACGAUAUAAUGCAUUGCAAUUGUGGGUGUGACAUUUCGCAUUCAACAUAUUCCUCAAGAAUACCUGGGAUGAUAGAGUCACUCACACAAGCGGGCGGAACAUGGUAACCAAUCAUUCCUCUACUCGAUAG